GACGAACGCUGGCGGCGUGCCUAAUACAUGCAAGUAGAACGCUGAAGGAGGAGCUUGCUUCUCUGGAUGAGUUGCGAACGGGUGAGUAACGCGUAGGUAACCUGCCUGGUAGCGGGGGAUAACUAUUGGAAACGAUAGCUAAUACCGCAUAAGAGUAGAUGUCGCAUGACAUUUGCUUAAAAGGUGCAAUUGCAUCACUACCAGAUGGACCUGCGUUGUAUUAGCUAGUUGGUGAGGUAACGGCUCACCAAGGCAACGAUACAUAGCCGACCUGAGAGGGUGAUCGGCCACACUGGGACUGAGACACGGCCCAGACUCCUACGGGAGGCAGCAGUAGGGAAUCUUCGGCAAUGGACGGAAGUCUGACUGAGCAACGCCGCGUGAGUGAAGAAGGUUGUCGGAUCGUAAAGCUCUGUUGUAAGAGAAGAACGAGUGUGAGAGUGGAAAGUUCACACUGUGACGGUAUCUUACCAGAAAGGGACGGCUAACUACGUG
rnacentral:rRNA from 1 species